UGGCUAAGCGGUAAAGCACUAGGCUUCUGAACCAGGGGUCACAGGUUCAAGUCCUGGU
rnacentral:tRNA from 1 species